CAGUCGCCGCGGUAAUACGUAGGUGGCAAGCGUUGUCCGGAAUUAUUGGGGGUAAAGGGCUCGCAGGCGGUUUCUUAAGUCUGAUGUGAAAGCCCCCGGCUCAACCGGGGAGGGUCAUUGGAAACUGGGAAACUUGAGUGCAGAAGAGGAGAGUGGAAUUCCACGUGUAGCGGUGAAAUGCGUAGAGAUGUGGAGGAACACCAGUGGCGAAGGCGACUCUCUGGUCUGUAACUGACGCUGAGGAGCGAAAGCGUGGGGAGCGAACAGGAUUAGAGACCCCGGUAGUCCCUGUCUCUUAUAA
rnacentral:rRNA from 1 species